UACGGGAGGCAGCAGUGGGGAAUAUUGCACAAUGGGCGCAAGCCUGAUGCAGCCAUGCCGCGUGUAUGAAGAAGGCCUUCGGGUUGUAAAGUACUUUCAGUCGUGAGGAAGGUGUUAAGGUUAAUAACCUUAGCAAUUGACGUUAGCGACAGAAGAAGCACCGGCUAACUCCGUGCCAGCAGCCGCGGUAAUACGGAGGGUGCGAGCGUUAAUCGGAAUUACUGGGCGUAAAGGGCACGCAGGCGGUUAAUUAAGUUGGAUGUGAAAUCCCCGGGCUUAACCUGGGAAUGGCAUUCAAGACUGGUUAGCUAGAGUCUUGUAGAGGGGGUAGAAUUCCAUGUGUAGCGGUGAAAUGCGUAGAGAUGUGGAGGAAUACCGGUGGCGAAGGCGGCCCCUGGACAAAGACUGACGCUCAUGUGCGAAAGCGUGGGGGGCAAACGAGGGAUUAGAUACC
rnacentral:rRNA from 1 species